rnacentral:misc_RNA from 1 species
GAUGAAGAACGUAGCGAAAUGCGAUAAGUAAUGUGAAUUGCAGAAUUCAGUGAAUCAUCGAAUCUUUGAACGCACCUUGCGCCCUUUGGCUAUUCCGAAGGGCAUGCCUGUUUGAGUAUCGUGAACACCUCAACUCUCAUGGUUUGCCAUGAUGAGCUUGGACUUGGGGGUUUUGCUGGCCUUCGGUCGGCUCCUCUCAAACGGAUCAGCUUUCCAGUGUUUGGUGGCGUCACGGGUGUGAUAACUAUCUACGCCUGUGGUUUUCUGCCAGAUAACCUUCAGCGAUGGAGGUUCGCUGGGGCUCAUAAAUGUCUCUCUUCAGUGGAGACAGCUUUUUGGACGUUUGAUCUCAAAUCAGGUAGGACUACCCGCUGAACUUAAGCAUAUCAUAAGCGGAGGA